rnacentral:lncRNA from 1 species
AAGGGUUUCGCACGCCAGUAGAACCUUGUUAGGAUUUGGUUAGAUUUGUAGUUGAAUCUUAGUUGGAUUAGAAUUAAUAUUUAAAUCUAUUGAAGAUAAAUUAAGAUUUAAAUAUUAAUUAGAAUAUAAAUCUAACUAGAUUAUAAUAAAUAUUUAAAUCUAUUAGAGAUAAGCUAAAUAUAGAUUUAAAUAUUUAUCGGAGUAGGAAUCCUAAUUAUAUUAGGAUUUAGGCAGCUUUUGAAGUAAGCUAUAAAUAUAGCAUAGGUGCUAUUGUUUAUGGUGGUGGUGGUGGUAUGGAUUAGCCACACCCAUAUGGCAUGGCCAAAAUGGUCAUGAUUUUGGUUGCACCUAGUGUAUUGGUAUAAGAGGACGUGUGCGGCUCUUGUAGCCGUGGGUCAUUGGUAUACCUUGUGCAUGGAUGCACAGGAAGAGAGAUGUCUUCUAGGAGUAUAAAAGACAAAAGAAGGGUAUGAGAGAUUCAAGAAAGAGGGCUCGGGUUGUGGCUACUCUAUUCAGAAGAGGAGUCAGGUGUAAUUUUCUCUUAUUUAAUGAAUCUUAUUUUACCUGCAUAUUUUUUUCUUUUAUGAUUGUAUCAGCUUUUGCUGAGGAGACGGGUUUAUGGUAAAACCCGAUUCGGCGCUUCCGUUGCGGAAUCUCAAUAAUCGGUACCGCAUCCACAGCCAUCAGUAUCGGAGCGGUUUGCGGAUUCACAAGAUCCGAUACCGGGGCGAGUACCAGAUUCCCAACAUUUUGUAUUAGAGUUGAAGGUUUUCGAUCCUUGUAGAAGAUCGAUGUCAGAGCACUGUGUUACCGAUCGUUCAGAGCGAUCGAUGUUUAAAGCACAAUUGAUCUCGUUAGGCGCAUUGGACUCGAAGGGUUGCGAUAUUUCUGCUUCAAGUGGAGCUAUGAGGGUCCGAAAGCGAGAUUGGGUCAUGUGCGAGGCGAACAAACGUAAGAACUUAUACGUUUUGAAUGGGAGCAUAGUUAGAAUGUUAGCGAAGACGGUUUACGGUUCCAAAAGUUCGCGGAAGUGCAGUCGCUCGAGGCGAAACGACGGAUGCGGCGACAUCGAGUGGAGGAGACAAGGUCAAUGUGGAGCUUGCAUUGUGAGCUCGACGCAACGGUUGAAGGCUACAAAUCCAACCAAGGUGGAGAAUGUUAGGAUUUGGUUAGAUUAGUAGUUGAAUCUUAGUUGGAUUAGAAUUAAUAUUUAAAUCUGUUGGAGAUAAAUUAAGAUUUAAAUAUUAAUUAGAGUAUAAAUCUAACUAGAUUAUGAUAAAUAUUUAAAUCUAUUGGAGAUAAACUAAAUAUAUAUUUAAAUAUUUAUCGGAGCAGGAAUCCUAAUUAUACUAGGAUUUGGGUAGCUUUUGAUGUAAGCUAUAAAUAUAGCAUAUGUGCUAUUAUUUUGGUGGUGGUGGUGGUGGUGGUAUGGAUUAGCCACACCCAUAUGGCAUGGCCAAGAUAGUCAUGAUUUUGGUUGCACCUAGUAAGAGGACAUGUGCGGCUCUUGUAGCCGUGGGUCAUUGGUAUACCUUGUGCAUGGAUGCACAGGAAGAGAGAUGUCUUCUAGGAGUAUAGAAGACGAGAGAAGGGUAGGAGAAAUUCAAGAAAGAGGGCUCGGGUUGUAGCUACUCUAUACAGAAGAGGAGUCAGGUGUAAUCUUCUUUUAUUUAAUGAAUCUUAUUUUACCUGCAUAUUUUUUUCUUUUAUGAUUGUAUCAGCUUUUGCUGAGGAGACGGGUUUAUAGUAAAACCCGAUUCGACGCUUCCGUUGCGGAAUCCCAACAAUCGGUACCUGAUCCACAGCCGUCGGUAUCGGAGCGGGUUGCGGAUUAACAAGAUCCGGUAUCGAGGCGAGUACCGGAUUCCCAACAAACCUUAUCUU